GUAUUAGCUACAGAAAAGAAUUAACAAGAAAAGAACUAGAUGAGGAUACACAUGAGGAAUGUUCACCAAAGAUUAAAGACACUCCAAUACAAUGUAUAGAUAAUUUGAAUGAGAGCCAAAAUACAAUUGAGACACAAGCAGAUGUGAUUACACAUGAGACAUGUCAAAUGGAGUUUGAUUGAAGUAUUAUUUUCUCAGAUUCAGAUUCAGAAACAAUUGAACCGCAAUCUACAUAGGAAUCACAAGCCAGUUACCAAAGAGAAGAGGCACUUCAGUAUUUAAAUCGCUUUUUAGAGGUUAAUGGCAGCAAAACCGUUUCCAGCCUUCCAUUAAAGUCCUGGUUUGAACUGUCCAAAAAAUCUCAAUACUUGUAUGUUGAUAGACUACAAAAUAUUAUUGACUGUGUCAUAGGAUGUUUUUUCCCUGAGAAUUUUAGUGAUGUCUCACAGCAGAUUUUUCUGUCAAAGUCAACUGAUGAAAAUAUCAAACCUCUUGCAACAAUAUCAACAAUUGCUGAGUUUUACCAGAAAUCAGAAUCUUGGCAGCAUAGAAGACAAUUAUUAUCAAUGCUGUCAUUGUUUAUGACAUACCAAGAAGUAUUGCAACUUAUCCCUGACUUAACAGAGUUUAAAUACUACACAUCAAAAAAAACAUGGAGAGAAAUUUGGCUAUGGGCUGCCUGUACCACCAGCAGAAACACACAGAAAAAAAAUGGAUCCAAUGAAAUUUGACAGCUUCUUAGAAUUUAUAACAUCGCCACAUAUUAUCAGAGAUCUACCAUAUGGUGAAAAGAAAUUGAAAUUAUCUGAUGGAACAGUUCAAAAUGUGCCAAACCUGAUUCAAUGCAUGGGCUCCUCAGAUAUUAUUCAACAGUACAAAGUAUAUUGUGAAAAAAACACUAUUAUUCCAUUAGGUGAAAGUACGAUGUACAAAAUUUUAUCAGAAUGUACAGCUACCAUCCGACAAAGCUUUGAAGGUGUUGACUAUUUUGUGCCUGAAGGCGAGAGGGCUUUUGCUACCCUAGAGGCUGUAGCUAAAGAAUUACACAGUCUUGAUCUGAUGACUCAAACUGAAUUCAGUGAUAUCAACAAACAUUUGCUGCAGUCAAGAAGAUACAUGAAGGCAGAUUUUAGGGUCCAUGUUGCUCAGUUAUGCCAAGUUGCAGACCAUUGUCUUACAUAUGGAGGAAGCGAUCCUAAAGAUGAAAAUUUUAAUCUGAAUGCAAUCAUUCGCAUACACAUAUUUGCGAAUCAUGUGAACAGCUAAAAGAAAUCAUAACAGCGAUGACAAAAAUAGUAACCAAUACUACUGAACAUGAGGAUGCAGUAAAUGAUAUGAGAUUUAAAAUAAACCAGGCAGCACAAAGUAUCAUCAACUUGAAGAAACAUCUUGUUAGGUGUCAAUUACAAGAUAGCCAAAAAUGACACAUUUGAACAAAUGAAGGAAAAUGAAGUCUUCAUAGUUUGCGAUUGGGCUAUGAAAUUUUUGCCAAGAAAGUUUAGAGAAGAUCAAUGUGACUGGUUUGCAAAGAGAGGGAUUCCAUGGCAUUUGUCAAUAGCAUUUAUGAAAAUUCAUAAUUCUCUACACUCUCUUGGAUUUAUCCAUAUAUUUUCAAACCAGACCUCACAGGAUAGUCACACUACCAGUGGCAUAAUACAGGAUGUAAUCACAUCAAUCCAAGAUGAUAACCAGAACACACAGUUUCAUCUUUGGUCUGACAAUGCAGCCUGUUACAAUUGAAAUCCUUAGAAAUGAUGGCACAUCUCUUUAACCUAGGCAGUGUAAAAACCUACAACUUCUGUGAGGCACAGAAUGGCAAAGGCCCCUGUGAUAGGACAGCAGCAACUGUUAAAUCAGCAAUAAGAAGACACAUCAACCAAGGAAAUGAUGUUGUAACUGCCAAUCAUAUGAAAGAGGCCAUUGAAAAGUCAAUGAAGAAUGUUAUAUAUAGAAUAAAAGUGGUAAGCAAUAUGACAGCAAAACCUAAAAAUGUGGACCGUGUUAUUCCAUCAAUAUCAACAUAUUCAAACUUCACCUUUGAGAGAAAUGGAAUCAGAGUAUGGAAGGCAUACAAUAUUG